AGGAAGCACGGCAAAUUUUUGCCUCGUGCUCGAUGGUAAUUAUCGGAAUUAGCGGGAAAAAACUACGUCAGAGGUCUGGUACCGACACAGAGACGCGAUUCUUGUCAUUUCUUUCUGGAUAGUACGCCGUCCAUCGAAGCUCCUCAGUUCGUAGAUAUACAAAAAUUGCCAAAUACCAGCUGUUAUCCUUCUGUAAAAAAUGCCUCCGUGUUUAUCAAAAUCAAUAAUGAGAGACGUCUACACCAUUUAUCCACAAAAGAAUAAUGCUGUACCACAAUACAACCAAACGAUCACUGCUAUGUUCCAAAAAAGACCUGAGCGAAGUCCUUUCGCUAGACCUGAUAUGUACGAUAUUGUGAGCUUGCUUUACAUUUCGAAUGAGUUGGUUGAAAAAGAGAUGAUGAAAAGUGAAGGAGAAAAUGCACUCUCGUUUAUUCUGUCUCAUCUUGAUGACCAAUCAAUGACAGUUUUACUUGGAACCUACAUUAAGAAAUUUUUCAAAUGUACUAUAUUUACGAAUGACGCCUUUCCUCUUUUUCCAUACAAUGAAAACUACCUAAACGGUUGGUUUACGCAGAAUUUUUCACAUUGUAAUGAUGCAGAGGGCAAAACUAAUCAAGAUGUAAAGAUUUUUAAUGCAAGUAACAAAGAUGAAGCAAUUAAAUAUAUCAUCCAGUUUGAAGAAAGAAGAAGAAUGAAAUACUGAGUUAUAUUUCCAUGGCACUGAUCAUUCGUCUGCUCAGAAUAUUCUUGAGAAUGGCAUUAAAUUAGGUAAAGGUGGUGAAAAGUGUGACUUGUCGCAUAAGUAUGGUUUCUACAUGGCAAAUGAUUAUGAAUACUCGUUAACGCAAUAUUCUAAUAUAACAGAAGCAGCCCUUCUCAUUUUUUGUUUACGCCCAAAUAAUUUGAAAAGUUUCCAAGAAUUGUAUUUAUGUGGUAAGAGCAAUCAACAAGACUUUGUUUCAGUUACUCCUUACUUUAGGGCUGGAAAGAUAAGCUGUAAAGGUUCCAUGAGCAGGGAACUAUUUUCGGCAUUAGAAGUGCGAUUAUAUCAAAAGUCCAAUUUCAUGCGAUGUUCGUUCAGCAGGUGACCAAAGGAAAGAUAUUCUGCAGGUUUGUGUAAAGAAACACAAAAUGGCUGAGACAAUGAGCAAUAGACAAGACUUUCUUUCAGUUACUCCAUACUUUACGGCUGGAAGGAUAGACUGUAAAGGUUCCAUGAGCAGGAAACUAUUUUCUGAAUUACAGAAGUGCGAUUAUAUCAAAAGUCCAAUUACAAGUGAUGGUCAUUCAGCAGAUGACCAAAGGAAGAUAUUCUGCAGGUUUGUGUGAAGAAACACAAAAUGGCUGAGACAAUGAGCGGUUCUCCGUUAUUGGUGGGUGCAGUCUUUAUAAAGCCUGAUUCUGAAGAGAACAAUUCGUUGUUGGGUUUUGAUUCAUUUGCAUAUUGAAAACAACAUUUUGAAUCUGAUGCUUAGCAAUGGCCUGUUCAUGUGUAUUUAACUUCUUCAACUGGGAGGCAACAAGCAUUCCAAAUAAAUCAUUUUAAUCUUUUUCCA